GAUGAAGAACGUAGCGAAAUGCGAUAAGUAAUGCGAAUUGCAGAAUUCAGUGAGUCAUCGAAUCUUUGAACGCACAUUGCGCCCCUUGGCAUUCCGAGGGGCACACCUGUUCGAGCGUCAUUUGUACCUUCAAGCUCUGCUUGGUGUUGGGUGUUUGUCUCGCCUCUGCGUGUAGACUCGCCUCAAAACAAUUGGCAGCCGGCGUAUUGAUUUCGGAGCGCAGUACAUCUCGCGCUUUGCACUCAUAACGACGACGUCCAAAAGUACAUUUUUACACUCUUGACCUCGGAUCAGGUAGGGAUACCCGCUGAACUUAAGCAUAUCAAUAAGCGGAGGA
rnacentral:misc_RNA from 1 species